UUGCUCAUUUUGUCAGCACAUAUAGUAAAAUUAGAAAGACCUAGAGAAUAUUAGCUAUGGCCUCUGUGCAAGGAUCAUAUGAAAGUGUGUGAAUUGUUCCAUAUUUAU